rnacentral:rRNA from 1 species
CCUACGGGCGACAGCAGUGGGGAAUAUUGCGCAAUGGGCGAAAGCCUGACGCAGCGACGCCGCGUGAGGGAUGAAGGUCUUCGGAUCGGUAACCUCUGUCAGCAGGGAACAACGGUCACUGUGCUAAUCAGCAGUGAAUUGACGGUACCUGCAACAGAAGCACCGGCUAACCCCGUGCCAGCAGCCGCGGUAAUACGGAGGGUGCGAGCGUUGAUCGGAAUUACGGGGCGUAAAGCGUUCGUAGGCGGUAUGUCACGUCAAGGGGGAAGUCCCCGCGCACAACGUGGGAACUGCCUUUGAAACUGGCAAAAUGGAGUGUGUGAGAGGAUAGGGGAAUUCGAGGUGUAGGAGUGAAAUCCGUAGAUAUCUGGAGGAACAUCAGUGGCGAAGGCGACUAUCUGGCACAUAACUGACGCUGAGGAGCGAAAGCGUGGGUAGCAAACAGGAUUAGAUACCCCUGUAGUC